rnacentral:rRNA from 1 species
GACGGAGGGUGCAAGCGUUGUUCGGAAUUACUGGGCGUAAAGGGCGCGUAGGCGGUCUGUUAAGUUCGGUGUGAAAGCCCCCGGCUUACCCGGGGAACUGCGCCGGAAACCGACAGACUAGAGUACCGGAGAGGAGGGUGGAAUUCCUGGUGUAGCGGUGAAAUGCGUAGAUAUCAGGAGGAACACCGGUGGCGAAGGCGGCCCUCUGGACGGAUACUGACGCUGAGGCGCGAAAGCGUGGGGAGCAAACAGG